rnacentral:rRNA from 1 species
UGAGGAAUCUUGGUCAAUGGGCGAGAGCCUGAACCAUCCAAGUAGCGUGCAGGAUGACGGCCCUAUGUGUUGUAAACUGCUUUUAUAUGGGCAUAAAGUGAGGGACGUGUCCCUUAUUGCAUGUACCAUACGAAUAAGGACCGGCUAAUUCCGUGCCAGCAGCCGCGGUAAUACGGAAGGUCCAGGCGUUAUCCGGAGUUAUUGGGUUUAAAGGGAGCGUAGGCUGUUUGUUAAGCGUGUUGUGAAAUGUAAGAGCUCAACUUUUAGAUUGCAGCGCGAACUGGCAGACUGGAGUGCGCACAACGUAGGAGGAAGUCAUGGUGUAGCGGUGAAAUGCUUAGAAAUCAUGACGAACUACGAUUGCGAAGGCAGCGUACGGGAGCGCAACUGACGCUAAAGCGCGAAGGUGGGGGGAUCGAACAGG